rnacentral:lncRNA from 1 species
CGGCACAACAUGAUUUUUCCUACUUUAAUUGUCUCAUCCUGAUCAAAGCAUCCUACGUCACUCAAAACGCAGAUUAAAACAUAAACACUAUCAAUUGGUUUCAUCAUCAAAAUACGAGAUUCAACAUGGGUGUGUUAUUUUGUUUUUGGGAACUAGACUUUUGCUGCAGCGACGAUAACAGGUCAAUGAGAUGUAGAGACAAUAGCGAUAGGAGAAAGAAGGGUAGUGAGCAAAGCUGCACCAGUUCUUGCGGUUGAGGAGCUUGGCAAUGAAGAAGUGAAGAGUUUUGUAGCUUGGGUGCUUUCUUCGUUGAGGAAGGACAAAGAGGCUUCACUGGCAGAAAACGCUCGAUAAGAGAGGAAAUAGAAGGGAUUGAAGCCGACUGUCUAUGUUCCCGCUGCUACUCUACUGCAGUAUACGUCCAGGGAAUGAUUGCAGAGGAGGGGUAGCCGCUUGUUGUAGAGCAGGCGACGAUGGUGCAAUUGGUGUAGAUCGCAGUGUUCGACCGAGUUCAAAGGCAAGAUGCGAUUGGGAAUGAUGUGGCAGUCGGUCCGACUGGGAAAGAUGGGAAGACAACGGAGGAAGUAGUUAUCGAGGCGGUAUUCCGGGAACCCGCUGCAGGAGACGGCAUGGCCGACGCCCUUGUUGGUGACAACAAAGGUAAAGAGGGUGAAGCAAAUGAGGAGGGGCGAGAGGCCAGGGAAUUAGCCCUCGUUGUUCUGCCGUUUUAGUUUUCCCAACUCCUAUGGCUAAAGGUGGGAUAUUGAGAGGUGGUAGAUCCUCCUGGGGAUACGGCCAUCCGGCGGUUGCCCGUCAGAUCAGUGGGCGGUGGUGGCAGAUCCUCCUGCAAUCCUUCGAUGAGGACCGAUGUCGGAGGAGGGAAGAGGGGGAGGAAGCGGUGGUCGUCGCCAAUCGAGAUGGGAAAGGAAGGAUCUGUGAGAUGCUCGAGCGACUAACCGACUACUUCUCCCGUUGUACUUUGCAGUCUAGAGGAGGCUGUUGAGUCCCGGGUCUAGAAGGAAGGCGACCCGAACGAUGCCCGCGAAGUCCGACGUCGUGAGCAGCGAGAUUGCCUUGCUGCUACAGCUGCAGCAACAACGAAAAGUAGCAAAGGAAGGUCUGCCCGCUGUUGAGCCAGAGCGUGUGCUUGGUGCG